ACUCUAAUAGUUUAUGAAAAACAUUGGUCUUGUAACCAAAAAACUGAAGACUACGCCCUUCUUAGAGUA
rnacentral:tRNA from 1 species